GGGGCUAUAGCUCAGCUGGGAGAGCGCCUGCUUUGCACGCAGGAGGUCUGCGGUUCGAUCCCGCAUAGCUCCACCAUCA
rnacentral:tRNA from 1 species